rnacentral:rRNA from 1 species
CAGCAGCAGGGAAUCUUGCGCAAUGGGCGAAAGCCUGACGCAGCGACGCCGCGUGGGGGAAGACGGUUUGAGGAUUGUAAACCCCUUUUCUCGAGGAAGAAGAUCUGACGGUACUCGAGGAAUAAGCCUCGGCUAACUACGUGCCAGCAGCCGCGGUAAUACGUAGGAGGCGAGCGUUGUCCGGAUUCAUUGGGCGUAAAGGGAGAGCAGGUGGCUGAGUUCGUCCGUGGUGCAAGCUCCAGGCUUAACUUGGAGAGGUCUACGGAUACUGCUCGGCUUGAGGACGGUAGAGGAGCACGGAAUUCCUGGUGUAGUGGUGAAAUGCGUAGAUAUCAGGAGGAACACCGGUGGCGAAAGCGGUGCUCUGGGCCGUUCCUGACACUCAGGCUCGAAAGCGUGGGGAGCGAACCGGAUUAGAUACCCGGGUAGUCCACGCCAUAAACGAUGAGUGCUGGGUAUGGGGGGUAUCGACCCCCUCCGUGCCGAAGCUCACGCGUUAAGCACUCCGCCUGGGAACUACGGCCGCAAGGCUAAAACUCAAAGGAAUUGACGGGGGCCCGCACAAGCAGCGGAGCGUGCGGUUUAAUUCGAAGAUACGCGAAGAACCUUACCAGGGCUUGACAUGUCGUUGACCGACUAUGAAAAUAGUUUUUCCUUCGGGACAGCGUCACAGGUGCUGCAUGGUUGUCGUCAGCUCGUGCCGUGAGGUGUUGGGUUAAGUCCCGCAACGAGCGCAACCCUUGCCGUGUGUUGUAUUUUUCACACGGGACUGCCCGGAGAAACCGGGAGGAAGGCGAGGACGACGUCAAAUCAGCAUGGCCCUUACGUCCUGGGCGACUCGCACGCUACAAUGGGUGGU